AAUAGAUACCCGGGUAGUCCACGCUGUAAACGGUGGGUACUAGGUGUGGGUCCAUUCCACGGGUUCCGCGCCGUAGCUAACGCUUUAAGUACCCCGCCUGGGGAGUACGGCCGCAAGGCUAAAACUCAAAGGAAUUGACGGGGCCCCGCACAAGCGGCGGAGCAUGCGGAUUAAUUCGAUGCAACGCGUAGAACCUUACCUGGGUUUGACAUGGAUCGGGAGUGCUCAGAGAUGGGUGUGCCUCUUUUGGGGUCGGUUCACAGGUGGUGCAUGGCUGUCGUCAGCUCGUGUCGUGAGAUGUUGGGUUAAGUCCCGCAACGAGCGCAACCCUUGUUCACUGUUGCCAGCACGUUAUGGUGGGGACCCAGUGGAGACCGCCGGGGUCAACUCGGAGGAAGGUGGGGAUGACGUCAAGUCAUCAUGCCCCUUAUGUCCAGGGCUUCACGCAUGCUACAAUGGCUGGUACAGAGAGUGGCGAGCCUGUGAGGGUGAGCGAAUCUCGGGAAAGCCGGUCUCAGUUCGGAUUGGGGU
rnacentral:rRNA from 1 species